rnacentral:misc_RNA from 1 species
GAUGAAGAACGUAGCGAAAUGCGAUAAGUAAUGCGAAUUGCAGAAUUUCCGUGAGUCAUCGAAUCUUUGAACGCACAUUGCGCCCAUUGGCAUUCCGAUGGGCAUGCCUGUUCGAGCGUCAUUAUCCUCCCUCAAACCCCUGGGUUUGGUGUUGGACUGUGUGGUGCCUGGCACCACUGGUCUCAAAGACAAUGACGGCGUCCGUGGGACCCUCGGUGCAACGAGCUUUUCGAAGCACGCGUCGAGUGGACAGUCUCUCCGGGCCGGUCGCCUCUCCAAUUUUUCUCAGGUUGACCUCGGAUCAGGUAGGAAUACCCGCUGAACUUAAGCAUAUCAAUAAGCGGAGGA